rnacentral:rRNA from 1 species
UACGUAGGGGGCAAGCGUUGUCCGGAUUUAUUGGGCGUAAAGCGCGUGUAGGCGGCCAGGUAGGUCCGCUGUGAAAACCCGAGGCUCAACCUCGGGACGUCGGCGGAAACCAUUUGGCUAGAGUCCGGAAGAGGAGAGUGGAAUUCCCGGUGUAGCGGUGAAAUGCGCAGAUAUCGGGAAGAACACCCGUGGCGAAGGCAGCUCGCUGGGACGUUACUGACGCUGAGACGCGAAAGCGUGGGGAGCAAACAGG